rnacentral:lncRNA from 1 species
UGUUUUUUAGAAAUGAGCAGCCAAGAUACAGAAGGUGACGAAGAAGUUUCUGCAUUUUUUCGAAAUGUUCAAGAGAUCAGAGCCGAAGAGCUCUUGCCAAGUAAGCUAACUUUGUAUGAGAAAGAUAUGUUACAAAGAUAUAUACUUCACCACUUUCAGCAAUUUGUUAAUUAUAACUUUUUUUUAAUGUUUAGCGGAAGUAAUGGACAGGCUAAGUCAGGAAUUUUUUUGUUGUUUUUUUUUUUUUUUUUUGUGUGCAAAUACAG